rnacentral:tRNA from 1 species
AAGAAUUUAGUUAAAUAAAAAUAACGUAAGCUUGUCAAGCUUAAAUUAAUUAUUUUAUUAAUUUUUA